rnacentral:rRNA from 1 species
UACAUAGGGUGCGAGCGUUAAUCGGAAUUACUGGGCGUAAAGCGCAUGUAGGCGGCUUGGUAUGUCGGGUGUGAAAUCCCCGGGCUCAACCUGGGAACUGCAUCCGAAACUGCCUUGCUCGAGUAUGGGAGAGGGAAGUGGAAUUUCCGGUGUAGCGGUGGAAUGCGUAGAUAUCGGAAGGAACAUCAGUGGCGAAGGCGACUUCCUGGACCAAUACUGACGCUCAGGUGCGAAAGCGUGGGGAGCAAACAGG